CGGGAUGGACAUACCUCUGGUGUACCAGUUGUCGUGCCAACGGCAUAGCUGGGUAGCUAUGUGUGGACGGGAUAAGUGCUGAAAGCAUCUAAGCAUGAAGCCCCCCUCAAGAUGAGAUUUCCCAACUUCGGUUAUAAGAUCCCUCAAAGAUGAUGAGGUUAAUAGGUUCGAGGUGGAAGCAUGGUGACAUGUGGAGCUGACGAAUACUAA
rnacentral:rRNA from 1 species